rnacentral:rRNA from 1 species
UAUCAAUAAGCGGAGGAAAAGAAACCAACAGGGAUUGCCUUAGUAACGGCGAGUGAAGCGGCAACAGCUCAAAUUUGAAAGCUGGCCCUUUUAGGGUCCGCGUUGUAAUCUGUAGAGGAUGGUUCGGCGAGGGCUCCCGCCUAAGUCCCCUGGAACGGGGCGUCAUAGAGGGUGAGAAUCCCGUAUGCGGUGGGUUGCCUUAGCCAUGUGAACCUCCUUCGACGAGUCGAGUUGUUUGGGAAUGCAGCUCUAAAUGGGAGGUAAAUUUCUUCUAAAGCUAAAUACCGGCCAGAGACCGAUAGCGCACAAGUAGAGUGAUCGAAAGAUGAAAAGCACUUUGGAAAGAGAGUUAAAAAGUACGUGAAAUUGUUGAAAGGGAAGCGCUUGCAACCAGACUUGUCCGCAGUUGCUCAGCCGGUCUCCUGACCGGCGUACUCUUCUGCGGCCAGGCCAGCAUCAGUUCGGGCGGUCGGAUAAAGGCCUCGGGAAUGUGGCUCCUCUCGGGGAGUGUUAUAGCCCGGGGCGGAAUGCGGCCAGCCUGGACUGAGGAUCUCGCUUCGGCAAGGAUGCUGGCGUAAUGGUUGUAAGCGGCCCGUCUUGAAACACGGACCAAGGAGUCUAACAUCUAUGCGAGUGUUUGGGUGUCAAACCCAUACGCGUAAUGAAAGUGAACGGAGGUGGGAACCCGCAAGGGCGCACCAUCGGCCGAUCCUGAUGUCUUCGGAUGGAUUUGAGCAAGAGCAUAGCUGUUGGGACCCGAAAGAUGGUGAACUAUGCCUGAAUAGGGUGAAGCCAGAGGAAACUCUGGUGGAGGCUCGCAGCGGUUCUGACGUGCAAAUCGAUCGUCAAAUUUGGGUAUAGGGGCGAAAGACUAAUCGAACCAUCUA